UCCAGAGAGGUCCAUCAUCAUGUUGUUCAGUCAGUGGGCUCUCCUCUUGACCGUGUGGUUGCUUUGUGUGGAGGUUUUGUAUUUGAACCUGGACACGCAGAUCGUGAUGAACAUGCGUGGAGAAGCUGGCUCUUUGUUUGGGUUUUCUAUGGCCAUGCACCAUCAGCUUAAACCUUCAGAGGAGCGAGUAUUGCUGAUUGGAGCCCCUCUUGCUAAAGCAUUGCCUAUCUGAUAAUUGUGAACGUAUUUCUGUUGAUAAAGAAGGUGGGAUGAUCUCCAAAAUAAGCAUUGAUGAAGAUGUAGGAAAAGCUGUGUAUGUUUUCAUCAACCAAGCCAAAGGGCAGCGCUGGAACCAAAUACAACCAGUGUGUCUAUAUGGGAAAAUGGACUCCAUGUUUGGACUAGCAGUGGCUCAUAUUGGGGAUAUCAACCAAGAUGGAUACCAAGAUUUUGCAGUGAGUGCUCCUAAUGAGGAUACAGGGAGAAGUCGGGUGUACAUAUGUCAUGGUUCAGCUGCAGAGCCUCAUCAAAAACCAGAGACAUGUGCUGAUGACUUCAGAUGCGUGGAGAUAAAGUGCCCUCUUGAGGCAGUGGACAGCACUACAGACGUUUCAAUUGUGGAACAAUACUUUUCUUGAGGAGUAUACUGUAGAUCAUUGAACUACUUGGAUAUAGUACUGGAUGCGUUUUUGACUCUUAAUGCGAGAAUAUUGGGAUGCAGCCAUUCAGUAUUAAGGUGAAGCUAACAUUUUUCCGUGAAAGAAAGCCUGCUUUGCUCAGUCAAGUCCCAUGGUGGGUCAUUCUACUCAGCAUAUUGACUGCACUGUUUUUACUGGGUCUUCUCUUCUACCUGUUAAAGAAGGUAAUGUGAUACUCAUCAUCUCGAAACUAAUUUGGUUUACCAGAAAGAUAGGCAUUAAAUAAUAUAGUUACAUUGUAGCUAGAAAGGGUUAGUGUAGUUGCAUGUGUUUGAAAACACAUUUUUCAUUUGAAAAAUUCAUUUGCUGUGAUUUUUUUAUUGAAUUGUAUUGUUUUUCUGCUCCUCAGUUUGAAUGCUUAAAUUUUGAAUGUGUAAGAAUAAGGACAGGAACCAGAGUUGUGUCCUCUCAGGAAGAUGGACAAAGCAGUUUUCUAAUUCUGUGGAGAUUUAAUUUUUUCUUGCAUAAGUCAAAAUAAGUUUUUUUUUUCUUUCUUUUUUGUGAGUUUUUUAUGUUGAGUGUACAUACAAUUUUGAGAAUUAAUAAUUAAAUAAUCUACAAACAAAAGUUUUAAACGUAUCACUAAGGACAAAUAAUGCUACUCUGCUAACUUCACAUUUGUUUAACAUGGUCAUCUUACAUUGUUAAUCAUACAUUUGAGUCUUUAAUGCAGUGAACGAACAAAUUACAUUUACAUAGUAAUGUGCACUGUCUGUAAUGUUAGUGGUAGAGUAAAAUUUCCUUUUGCGAUGUGAUGUAUUU